CCUACGGGAGGCAGCAGUGAGGAAUAUUGGUCAAUGGGCGCGAGCCUGAACCAGCCAAGUCGCGUGAGGGAGGACGGCCCUACGGGUUGUAAACCUCUUUUGCCGGGGAGCAACGGGCGCCACGUGUGGCGUCACUGAGAGUACCCGGAGAAAAAGCAUCGGCUAACUCCGUGCCAGCAGCCGCGGUAAUACGGAGGAUGCGAGCGUUAUCCGGAUUUAUUGGGUUUAAGGGGUGCGUAGGCGGUUCGUUAGGUCAGUGGUCAAAUUGGGGGGCUAAACCCCUUCCCGCCAUUGAAACUGGCGUUCUUGAGUGGAAGAGAGGUAUGCGGAAUGCGUGGUGUAGCGGUGAAAUGCAUAGAUAUCACGCAGAACCCCGAUUGCGAAGGCAGCAUGCCGGCUUCCGACUGACGCUGAAGCACGAAAGCGUGGGGAUCGAACAGGAUUAGAUACCCGAGUAGUC
rnacentral:rRNA from 1 species